rnacentral:rRNA from 1 species
GAUGAACGCUGGCGGCGUGCCUAAUACAUGCAAGUCGAGCGAACGGACGAGAAGCUUGCUUCUCUGAUGUUAGCGGCGGACGGGUGAGUAACACGUGGAUAACCUACCUAUAAGACUGGGAUAACUUCGGGAAACCGGAGCUAAUACCGGAUAGUAUUUUGAACCGCAUGGUUCAAAAGUGAAAGACGGUCUUGCUGUCACUUAUAGAUGGAUCCGCGCUGCAUUAGCUAGUUGGUAAGGUAACGGCUUACCAAGGCAACGAUGCAUAGCCGACCUGAGAGGGUGAUCGGCCACACUGGAACUGAGACACGGUCCAGACUCCUACGGGAGGCAGCAGUAGGGAAUCUUCCGCAAUGGGCGAAAGCCUGACGGAGCAACGCCGCGUGAGUGAUGAAGGUCUUCGGAUCGUAAAACUCUGUUAUUAGGGAAGAACAUAUGUGUAAGUAACUGUGCACAUCUUGACGGUACCUAAUCAGAAAGCCACGGCUAACUACGUG